rnacentral:snoRNA from 1 species
UCCCUCCAGAUUCCUUAUCCCUCAAACCUAAAUAGUGGUUUGAGUGGCUUAAAAAAAACAAGAGGAAAAGUACAAUUGAAGUGGACUUAAGUCUUUAGUGACAAACAAGCUCAUCACAAACGAAC